rnacentral:tRNA from 1 species
GCCCUGGUGGCUCAGAUGGUAAAGCGUCUGCCUGCAAUGCAGGAGACCUGGGCU